GGGUCAGUAGGUUGGUCGUGCCACCGGUACGUACUGGUCUCACUGAUUCCUCCUUCCUGAAGAACCGUAAUGCCAUUAAUUUGGUGUUGCGGGGAGACAGGACUGUUACUUUGAAAAAAUUAAAGUGUUUAAAGCAAGCUAACGCUUGAAUACAUUAGCAUGGAAUAAUGAAAUAGGACGAUCGAUCCUAUUUUGUUGGUUUCUAGGAUUGACGUA
rnacentral:rRNA from 1 species